UUCAAAUAGCUCUGCAAUGGGAUAGGAUUCCUAAGCCCCUCUGAGGGUGACAUAGGCUCUCCUAUCCCACUCCCAUCCGGACACGUCCCAGUUCGUGCAGAGUGGUAACGUGCGUCAUCGUAUAUCCAAACUUGAGUACGGGGGCUUGUUCCAACCCCUUGGGCGGAUGAUAGUUCGUUGCUUAUCAGGAGGGG
rnacentral:ribozyme from 1 species